AUCCACCGCGCGGCCAAGCUGGGUGCCCCGGGGAGUCUGGCCGCCAUGCCACCUCCUCUUCUCGUCUUCUCCCUCCUCUUCCUCACCCCUGAGGGAGUCAGGCCCCAGAAAACACUGCUGGUGGAGGCUAAAGAGGGAGGCAAAGCUGAGCUGCCAUGCCUCAAAGGUCCCUCAGAUGGUCCCCCUGAGCAGCAGGCCUGGUUUCAGGGGGCUCAGUCAGAGCUGGACCCAGGUUCACAAGGCCUGGGCAUCCAGAAGGGGCCCCUGGGCCUCCAGCUCCUCAUCUUCAACGUCUCUGACCAGAUGGGGGGCUUCUACGUGUGCCAGCUGGGGCCCCCUUCUGAGCAGGCCUGGCAGUCUGGCUGGACAGUCAGCGUGGAGGGCAGCGGGGAGCUGUUCCGCUGGAAUGCUUCAUACCUAAAUGACCCAGGCUGUGGCCUGGGGAACAGGUCCUCAGAGGGCCCCAAGCCCUCUUCUGGUUACCCCACAAGCUCCCAGCUGUACGUGUGGGCCAAAGGCCACCCUGAGAUCUGGGAGACAGACCCUGACUGUGCCUCGCCCAGGGGCGGUCUGAAUCAGAGCCUCAACCAAGACGUCACCGUGGCCCCUGGCUCCACAUUCUGGCUGCCCUGUGAGGUGCCCCCCGCCUCCGUGGCCAGAGGCCCCAUCUCCUGGACCCUCGUGCGCCCCAAGAAGCAUAACAUCUCAUUGCUGCACUUAAACCUGAGGGAGGAUGCCCCGGUCAGAGAGAUGUGGGUCCUAGACACCCUCAGGGGAGGGGCUGUUCUGUUGCUGCCCCAGGCGACCGCUCAAGAUGCUGGCACCUAUCACUGUUACCAUGGCAACAUGACCAUCGAGAUGCAGCUGAAGGUCACUGCCCAGUCAGUAAGACACUGGCUGCUGGAGGCUGGUGGCUGGAAAGUCCCCGUUGUGCCAUUACUUUAUCUGAUCAUCUGCCUGGGUUCCCUGGUGAGCUUUGUUCAUCUUCGAAGAGCCCUGAUCCUCAGGAAGAAAAGAAAGCGAAUGACCGAUCCCACCAGAAGGUUCUUCAAAGUGACGCCUUCCCCGGGAAGCGGGGCCCAGAAUCAGUACGGGAACGUGCUCUCCCUUCCCACGCCCACCUCUGGGACGGGACGCGCCCUAAGGUGGGCUGCAGGCCUGGGGGCCGCCGUCCAGUCGUACGGAAACCCGCGCAGCGACGUACAGGAGGUCGGAGCCGCGGGGCCCCGGAGCCCGCCACCAGCAGGCCCAGAAGAAGAGGAAGGAGAAGCCUAUGAGGAGCCGGACAGUGAGGAGGGCUCCGAGUUCUACGAGAAUGACUCCAACCUCGGGCAGGACCAGCUCUCCCAGGAUGGCAGCGGCUAUGAGAACCCUGAGGACGACGCCUUGGGUCCCGGGGAUGAAGACUCCUUCUCCAGCGCAGCCGAGUCUUAUGAGAAUGAGGAUGAAGAGCUGGCCCAGCCAGUCGCCAGGACAGCAGACUUCCUGAGCCCCCAUGGGUCUGCCUGGGAUCCCAGCAGGGAGGCAACCUCUCUUGGUGAGAAAUGGCUAGGGACCCUCCUGCCUUGCCCAGAUUGGGUUGACCUGGCCUCAGCGCUGACUCCACACUCAACUUUGGCCUUGACUCCCACCCCAGGCCUAAUCCUGGUCUUAGAUGGACUCCUAACCUUAACCUCCACCCCAAUCCUGAAUCCCAGUAUUUACCCCAUCCCCAACUGUGAACAUCAGCUCUGAUCCCAAUCCGAUUCCAGCCUGGAUUUUGACCUCCACCUCACUGCAGCCCCAGGGCAAACGGCAGCUUUGACCCCAGUUGUCUCUACAACCUCCUCGUGACUGUGACUCUGACUUUGACUUCUUCCCGUUGGGUUCUUGACAUGGAUUAUAAUCUAAUCCAUACCUGACCGUAAUCACUCCUUCCUAGUACCCACGGAUCAAGCCUUCCACCCUCCUGCCUCUCAGAUUCCCUCUGUAUGUCAGGCCGCACUUCCCUUCCCCAAGCCCCCAGCAUGGCGCUAGGCCUCCCAACUCUCCUGCCCACGCAGGGUCCCAGUCCUACGAGGAUAUGAGAGGGAUCCUGUAUGCAGCCCCCCAGCUCCGCUCCCUUCGGGCCCAGCCGGGUCCUAAUCAUGAGGAAGAUGCAGACUCUUAUGAGAACAUGGACAAUCC